GUGGCGCAGGGAGAAUGGGUCAAGGUGGUUUCAUUAUUUAAACCAACCUAUUUGAACCAAAUAAGUUAGGCCCAAUUAGACUAAUUUAAACCCAACUUAAUUAGGCUUAAUUAGGCUCAAUAAAAUCUUAAUCAAAUUAGAAAUUGAUUAAGCCCAACCCCUGAUCAAAUCAGGGACCAAACCAUCUUGAUGAUUAGGUCAACUCUUAACCUAAUCGGGUCAAACCCAACUGAAUCCAAUUCAAUUGGACUUGAUCCAAAAAUAAUUACUCAAUCAAAUUGAGUUAAUUAGUAAUCAAAUCACUAAUUAAACAUCUCAUAAAUAUUGAGUC
rnacentral:lncRNA from 1 species